GGCGAGAGUUCGAUCAUGGCUCAGAUUGAACGCUGGCGGCAUGCCUUACACAUGCAAGUCGAACGGCAGCGCGGGAGCAAUCCUGGCGGCGAGUGGCGAACGGGUGAGUAAUACAUCGGAACGUGCCCAAUCGUGGGGGAUAACGCAGCGAAAGCUGUGCUAAUACCGCAUAAGAUCUACGGAUGAAAGCAGGGGAUCGCAAGACCUUGCGCGAAUGGAGCGGCCGAUGGCAGAUUAGGUAGUUGGUGAGGUAAAGGCUCACCAAGCCUUCGAUCUGUAGCUGGUCUGAGAGGACGACCAGCCACACUGGGACUGAGACACGGCCCAGACUCCUACGGGAGGCAGCAGUGGGGAAUUUUGGACAAUGGGCGCAAGCCUGAUCCAGCCAUGCCGCGUGCAGGAUGAAGGCCUUCGGGUUGUAAACUGCUUUUGUACGGAACGAAAAGUCUCUUUCUAAUAAAGAGGGAUCAUGACGGUACCGUAAGAAUAAGCACCGGCUAACUACGUGCCAGCAGCCGCGGUAAUACGUAGGGUGCAAGCGUUAAUCGGAAUUACUGGGCGUAAAGCGUGCGCAGGCGGUUAUGUAAGACAGUUGUGAAAUCCCCGGGCUCAACCUGGGAACUGCAUCUGUGACUGCAUAGCUGGAGUACGGUAGAGGGGGAUGGAAUUCCGCGUGUAGCAGUGAAAUGCGUAGAUAUGCGGAGGAACACCGAUGGCGAAGGCAAUCCCCUGGACCUGUACUGACGCUCAUGCACGAAAGCGUGGGGAGCAAACA
rnacentral:rRNA from 1 species